CCAUUAUCCCUGCUGGGGCAGGAAGGCUCUCUCCUCUAGCCUGAUUCCUGAAUUUCAGCCUUCCUGCCAGUUUUAGAAGGAAGAUUUUGGCUUGACAGCUUUGCAGUUCCUAUUUACCUGCUCAGGAGAAAGUCAACUGUCCACUAGCUUGACCAACAAGCAAGAAUAAAUAGACACUGACCCAAAUGCUUGGGACAUACCGCCUCAUAAAUAGGGAGAGUCAACCAGCAAUGAGGAGAUUUCACAAUCAAUAUUUAUGAGGAUCCACUUGUACUAAGCAAUUACUUGUCACUACUGGAGAAGAAUCAGACUGAGACAGAAAAGGGAGAUGACAAAAAUAUUGAUGUUGAAUAAGAUGGCUUGUCUUGGCUUCCCUGUGAUUUAAACUGCAUGUCCAUAGUCUGGAUAUAAUAUAAAAUAACCUUAGGCUUAUUUGCAAGUUUAUCUAGGGUUUCUUCGUUGGUUAAUAAUGUCAGAAAUAUUUCCAGAAAGCUAAAGCACCUACAGAUAUUGAUGUUAUCUGAAAUGUGUUGAAAAUAGGGUACAUUCAGUACAUUCCAAUGCACAAUUUAGUUCAUUUUGGGCAUUGGUGAGACUAAACAACAUCAAAGGUAUCCUUCCUGACUCUCAAUAUGCACCCUUGAAUGCAUCCCGUUACAUUCUAUGGUAAAGAGAGGUUCGUAAGUAAUCAUACUAGACAGACAAAUUGACACACCAAGAUAAAGAAGGAGACGAGGAAAGAUGCUCUUUAAGGCAAAAUGUUUCAACAUCCAUUGAUAUAAAUAAUUGUUGAGGGAAAUGACAUGGCGUGGUAAUUGGCCUUUGUAUAUGUAAGAGAAAUCCUCCCCAGAGGUGCUUGAAUCUAAAUCAACAUUUAGAAGACAGAUAUUAUGACCUGCUAGCAUCUGUCUCUGACAACGGAGCAUGAAAUUUAAAUUGCCAUAUUUAUUAAGUCAUUGUUUGAAUGUCAAAUGAACCCCAUAUAAUCUACAGACUGUAUAGCCAAGGAUACUUUCAUCUCCCCUUCUACAAAAACAAUACCACAUGCUAAAAUUCCUUCUUUCCAAGCCUCAAUCCACAAUUUUUCUACAAAUAUUUGUCUAGAUUUGCAUAAAGGCGGCCAAAAGAAAACCCACAGAGGGGACUGAGAAAUGGAGGAAAGGAAAGAGCUACAGUAAGCAAUGCAAAUGAAUGCCUCAGUGUAUGACAGUUUCCAGAGGAUCUGGUAGUGAAUCUGCAUUCAAAAACCUUUCUAAGUGGAGGAGUGAGGGAAGAGAGGAGUGAAGGAAAAUCUACUUUAAAAAGGAACUUCAUGGAGUUGAUGAUAUAAUUUUAUUGGGGAGGAUGGAAGUAGAGAGGAGAGAGAUUGUUAAUGCUUUAUAUCUGCCCUGAUUUCAAAUAGAAGUAAAAUGCUAAACCUGAGCACAGAAGCUGGAAGACAGAAAAUAUGCAAAGAAAUCCCUCUCAAGGGAAGCCAAAUGCCACCAGGAGCUGCAGAAGUACUGCUGAGAUUUGUGAGGAAUGAAUCAUAUUGGUAACACGGUACAUUUCAGAAGGGGGGAAAAAGCUCCUCUUUGGUAGAAAGAAGGGCAGUUAAGGUUGAAGAAACUGUAGGUUAAAUAAUAGAAGCAUUUCGGCAAUGUCAAAUCACUGCUAGACAACAUCCUUUGAUAAACACAGGAGAUAUCUUUUUGGUCUUACCUGAGAUCUGCUGUCAAGUGUUUGCUGAGUCAAACAGCAUUCUGAAGAUAAGCUUCUCCCACCUCCCUCAGAGCUACAGGCCAAGAAUAGGCUAUGAUCUUGUAGGAGAAAGAAUGGCAGAACCUGGGGGUGAAGUGAAAACAGAGACCAGCCUAGAAUCCCUACGUAGCCACAAGGGAACUAAAUCCAACCCCCUUGAGUACCGUUGACCCUUAUCCCAAAGGUGAUUUUUCAAGAGGCAACUGGACUUUCUGUUUUUUCUUUGAAGACAUUUCGCUUCUCCAAGAAGCUUCUUCA